rnacentral:lncRNA from 1 species
GUUGGAAGAGGAUUGGCCAAGGCAGUAAAUGUGCAUUUCUUGUUCAUAUUGGUACAACAUCUUCAUCAUAUCAUAAUGGCUGUAAGAGAAGAGUUGAAGAUCUAAUGAAAUCAACUCAACAUAUUGACAAGGUAAUACACGUUAUAUCAAGUGAGGAAAAACAAAAAAAAUCGUUUGCAUCUAAUGACCACAAUUAUGAGUGUUAUGUGGCUAGCACUUCAAUGUUGUUCAUUUAGAGGCAAUGAUGAAUCUCCAUCUUCACUUAAUCGUGGGAAUUUUCUUGAAAUAGUAGAUGCAUUUGGAUAAAUGAAUAAAAAAAUAGGAGAAGUUGUGUUGGGUAAUGCCCCAAAAAAUGCUACAUACACAUCUCCAGACAUUCAAAAAGAGAUCUUGAGCAUUAUGGCUAAUAGAGUAAGACAGAGAAUCCGUAAAGAAAUUGGGGAUGCAAAGUUUAGUAUUCUUGUUGAUGAAGCUUGAGAUGCAUCUUCACAAGAACGAAUAGCUAUUAUCUUGAGGUUUGUGAAUGGUAAUGGAAUUUUGACAGAACGUUUUUUUGCAAUUAAAAGUGUUAGUGACACUACAUCAUUGAAUCUUAAGAAUCAAAUUUCUAAUGUUUUUGUUCGUCUCAACCUUCAAGUGCAAAAUAUGAGAGGUCAAGGGUAUAAUGGUGCUAAUAACAUGCGUGGUGCUUGGAAUGGACUACAAGCAUUAUUUCUUAUUGGUUGUCCAUAUGCAUAUUAUGUCCAUUAUUUUGCCCAUCGUUUACAACUCACGUUUGUUUCAGCAGCUAGGGAUGUCGCAGAUAUUAAUUCGUUCUUUUCAGAUUUGGACAAUGUUAUUAAUAUGAUUACAUCAUCUCCUAAGCACAUCAAUGAGUUGAAAAGUUCCCAAAAAAAAAAAAGAAAUUGAACAUUUUUUGGAAAUUGGAGAACGAGAGAUUGGAAGUGGGG